UUUCCGGUGGAAAAAAAAUUGUAGGUCAGUCAAACGCGAUCUAUCUCUAUCGCUCCCGAACCCACCUCUUCCCCUUCCGAUCUGGUCGCCGCCGAAUCCGGCGUCGCCCCCCACCCCCCACCCCCGCGCUCGGUUCCCGUCCAGAACCUGCCACCUACGACGGAGCGAGGCCGCCGAAGCCGGCGACAAAAGGAUUCGAAGCAGCCGGCCGGAGCUACUUUGACUUCGACGUUGAGGAGGGCGUCGGCCUCAGCUCCUGGCCUCCCAGGGCCCGCCGCCGCUGGGCUCGUACAUGGUCAGGUGCGGGCGACUCGGAGAGGAGCUUUGGCCGUAAGGACUAUACAGCUUAGUUUCUCCUGGGAUCACGUUCUCCGGACGUCGAUUGAGUUUCCGAGCAAAGUCCGGGCCUCCAGGUUUAUCUACACAUCCACAAUGCAGGCCGAGGCUGCUAGCUUGUACAUGGAUUCCUAGAUGCCGUACUAAUGAAGAAGAUAGCAAGCCGUCGAUUGCUGCAACAGGGCGGCAGGGAAGAUCCGAGUCAGCCGACGGUUGUCAAGGCAACAGUAACCUUCUAAAGGACCUUCCUAUAGUCUCCUGCCAAUGCCGGAUUAGAUCGAGGUCGCGGUGGAUUGGGUGAAUCGCGCGUACCUAGGUAUAGCCUCAUGACGCGAGGAGAACUCGUCACACUCGGCAGCCCCAAGCAGCGGUCCAAAACAUAUUAAAGUUCCAUGGAUCAAGAAGGUAUAGCAAUAGUACUGUCACACCUGUACAACUACUUGGUGGAACAAUUUUCAUUGCAGUUUUGCCAGAACUGAUGCUAAGUCAUGGCAGGUUGUUUCUGGCGGUAGUGUUUUCAUCUGAUAUCAUUGAUAUUUUAUUUACUGAAUAACCUUCCAAGAAUCA